CUAGUAGCUGGUUCCCUC
rnacentral:ncRNA from 2 species